rnacentral:lncRNA from 1 species
CCAUGAGCCUUAAGUGGUGGAGAAUGAGUAAGAAUGGAGCUUUCCUACCCUUACUCUGAUUAUUUUGGACACAAGACACUUGGCUUGCUUGUCUAGAAUUUUCACUCUUUCUCAUAAACCCUUGUUCAAGGUAAAAUCAACACAACCCAUCAAAUUUAUUUUUGUGCUUUAGGGAACCACCCUGAAAACCCUUUUCUCAAAU